UACUUUGUAUAUGCAGGUCGCACAUGCGCAUUUAAUUUUUUGCAGUAAUUAGUUUAUCCACAAGGUGGCAACCAUGCCCUGGGGGCGUUGAUUCACAAGGUAGUCGAAGAAAACCUGCAUAAACAGAACAGACCGGAACACAUGCAAGCUACAGCAAAAAUGGAGGCCUGCAUAGACGAGAGAUUGUGCGAAGAGGUUAGAAAGUACCCUUAUUUGUACAACUCUAGCAUGAAAGAAUACAAAGAUGUUUACAUGGUUUGAACUCAUAGAGGUAUUGCAAUUUGUCGCAAUGCGCAUGCGUCGAACGCCUGUGUACGAGUCAAGUGAAGUAUACUUUGCAAGGCUGUGCGUUUGAAAAUGAAGUAUACUUUCUGCUUUAUUCUUAAGAUUUUUUUUUUGCUUGUGAGAUCUGAAAGUGUACAGCUUAAUUAUAUGACAUAGAUGGCAGUGAAGUGGUGGGGUUGUGAAAAUUUUUAAAGUUAAAAAUGCGUCAUGGAAAACCCCCAGUGUAGAGUUUUUUUGGCCACAAUGGAAAGUACUGAGAGUGCUGACAGAAAAGAGCAAGUAGGUCCUCAUGUAGUGGUCUCAUCUUCACCAAGAGGGAAAUAGCUGGUGACCCUCUUCCCAUUUGCAGUGACCCGAAAAAUAGGCCUCGCAAAGCCCUCAGCACCUGGCAGAGGGACUCAAAAAUAAACGGACUGCUUAUGAGCGGUUCCUACAGGGCUGUGGAAAAGCGGUACCCGUUGGACUAAAAUAGAGCAAACUAAUCCCCCAGUUUUCUGCAAGAGCGGGUAUGGCUGCCAUCCCCCCCCAGGGCUACUCAGCAACUCAAAUGCCAAGAAUCUUACUGUGUCUAUGUCCAGAAUAAACUCUCUAGCUCCCCGCAGCAGCUUGGAGAUAACACAAACAAUGUGAGAAAUGUUGAGGCGAGUGCGCUUGGGGUGGGAGCAAGCAAUGGUUUAAGGACCUCUUUGGAAUUUGCGGAGGUGGUGUUUUUUUUUUUUUUUUUUCAGGAUUUUUCAUGGUAUAGUUAAAGUUCGUACAUGCUGGUCUGGGGCGAGGAUGUAGGGCAACAUUGUUUCCCCGAGGCCCAGAUUAUGGUUACUCAGUGAACCUUGUUAGUCACUUAACACCUUUUAGUCAAGCUUGUACUGUCUUGCCUGCAUGCUGUAAAGCAAACCUCUUUGUCUCUUAUCAUUGAGCACAUUUACAUACACCGAUAUGCUGAUAACUCCCAAAAAUCAGCUAAUUAAAUUAACCCGUUGAUCCAGUUUACAUGCAACCCAAUAACCUGGCAACGCAAGUAAACCGUGUUUACAAGACUCUGAAAAAUCUGGUUAUGUCUCGGUAGUGACGUCAAAGCCUAAUCAUUUGUGUAUCUAACUCUGAGUAAUCCAUUUGUUAUGUGAGAUGUGAUAUUAAAUAAAUAAGCAGAAAAUAAGCACCGCUUCUACUUCGGCUGUACGAGAUGAGAACACAUUUUUAUCAUUUUCAGGUCAAGAAAGCUCUGUCUGGAUGUGCAUAAAUCUGCAGUAAAGAUGCUUUCCUGUUACAUAUCACACAUGCGCACUUCUAUAAGCGGAUAGAACGCAGGUUAAUGUAUUUACAUGUCAAGUGUUGUUCCUGGCUGUGGAAAAGCAUCAUCUUUGCUCCCAAUGUCAGUGCGUCAACUAGUCAAACGUCCUAGUCACGUCAGUGCUGACUUGCAUGUUUGUACUGUACAUUUGACCAGCAACUGUUUUGAGAACAAGUCACAAUACGAGACUGGCUUUGCCCAAAAAUGUUUGCUCAAAGAUCAGGAAUCAACUGUUCUGGAAUCAGCAAGGACCCUGCAAACUGUAAGUGAUUUCAUUUCGUAUUUCAUUUUUAAACCAGUAAUGACAGUUAAAUUCAUAAUGAACAGUCCUAGUAUUUUUACUUUAAAGAACGCUCUCUUUAUAAUGGCUGAAGCUGUCGAUCACGCAGCGCGUGGACACUUGCCAAAACUCCCGCUAUAGUGACGCUCUUACACUACGCAAUGAAUCUCUUACUGCAUUUACAUUGUGUUUGCAUUGUUAGUUAUGGUGAAAGCAUUUUGUGAGAGUGCAGAAAUUGCAUUGCAAUGCCGAGAUCACUGCAUUCACAAGAUCAACAGACUGUCAUCUGCUUAAUGCUCAUCACUGCAACCUUCCAUGUGAUUGGAAUGGGUCUAAAUAUAAUGCAAUAAUCAACACUUUUUCACGAUUCGUAAAUUUCAACAGCUGUAAUAGUAAAAAUGUAGUAAAAGUAUUCAAGAUGUAAAUCUUAUUUCAUAUGCAAAGAUGUCAGCCAAUCACAGCAGUGGGAGUUUACAGUGAAGUCUCACAGCAGACACGCCCCUUAAACAGAGCGUUCGAAUUAGAGGGCUAAAAUCAGGGUAGAAAAUAGCCAUUUAUUUCUAAGUGAUGAGAAUUUUUUGAUGUAAAAUUCAUAUCAACAUUAUAAGUGCACCUCAGGAAACAUAAAAUAAUAAUAAUAAUAAUAAAAAAAUCCAGUUCAUGACCCCUUUAUGACCUUACUCCAAUAAAGAAAAACUACAUGCAUUGUUGGCUUAUUAAUUAAAAUCAGGUUAAGAACAUACAUGUACAGUAAACACACUCAUUGUUCUUGAUUUUUUAUGUGUACAGGUGUUGGACAGAUACUCUGCAAGUGUUCAGUGAAAUAUACAUGCAGUUUAAUUUGGAAGGAUUCUUUGUGCUGGCGUAACCCUUCCAGUUGUACUUGCACCACUCUGAGCGGGAUUCGAACCGCCGUUUCCAGCAUGGGAGGCAGGCACACUAACAAAGACUCUAAAGACCGCUGGGUCUAGCGUUAGUCACUAGUGCGCCUCUUGAGGCCAGGAGAGUGAGGUUUACUUGCACAGCUCAAAUGAGCCGCUGCUCCCGGCCCCUUUUCCAGAAGAGGGUGGAGCUUUAACAGCUCGCGCUUCGGUCGCUCAACAACAACAAAGCUGGAGAAUCUCACGCAGCCAAAAUGAUGAACGGUGUUCAGCCUUACAUUGUUCAAACCGGAGUCGACACUGAUGGAGAGACUCAGGAAGAAGUUACAACUUUUAGAAUAAAAUUGGACGUUUCUGAAUGGUUAGUGGAUACAUUUAUGUAGUUGCUGUGGAGUUGAUUCAACUCAUCGACUAGCAUGUGCCGUCAUGUUAAACUUUUGUGCAAAUCCAGUGUUGAAUUGUUCAAAAAUGAAUUACUGUUUUUGCAGUCAUUAAGCUCUCACUCAUCACAGAGGAAUAAUCUGACCUGUGUGGCUGUGUAGGUGAUGUGGCGUGUGAUGCAUGUGAGGUUACCUGAUACUGAUAAUGAAGACAGGGACAUCAUGGCUGGUUGGAAACAGCACAGCCCUGUGUGGGACUGUUUUUUAGUUUAAUUAUGUAAAUGGAAAAAGCAAAGGCAUGAUCACAGCCAAUUAUAUGAUUUGUGGUUAAAUUUAAAGGGCAAAAAAUCCCACAAACCUAAUAGAGCAAAGUGAUCACAGCAAGGAGUACAAAAUUGUUCAUGACUCAAGGUGUGGAAAAAAAGAGUAGCCUCUAUAAUGAAGCCUGUGCUAGCAGUAGCUGACUCUGACCUUGCGUUGCCAAAGAUUUGGGGUUUGGAUGACAAACAUAUAGGCUAAUCAAUACAUAAAACUUAACUUGUUGAGAUUCAACAACAUGUAAAACUUUUAAUGCUGCUCUUGAACUCAAGUUCAUCACUCCAAGUGCUGCACAAAGUUAAUUCAGUGAUUGUGCUGAAGAGGGAAAACGGCAACUCUUUUCUUAUGUUAUUAUUAUGAAAUAGAUCUGUAUCCGCAAAACUAACCAGGGUUAACACGGGAUCAUAUCCAUAUUAUCAGAUCCAUUAUUAUAUAGCAUUAUAAAUGUCCCACAAGUCCUAAAGCACAGCACAGUUUUAGGGUUUCUCAUCAGCCCUUAUCUGCUUACAUUAACAAUCCAAUAAAUUUUUUGGGGUUAUUUUUCCAGUGUUUGGGUAGUUUUUGUGUUACACAGCUCCUGGGUCAGACGUAACAACCCAGCGUUUGGGUAGUUUUUGCGUUACCCUGAUCCUGGGUCAGGCGUAACAACCCAGUGUUUGGGUAGUUUUUGUGUUACCCUGAUCCUGGGUCAGGCGUAACAACCCAGCGUUUGGGUAGGUUUUGUGUUACCCUGAUCCUGGGUCAGACGCAACAACCCAGUGUUUGGGUAGGUUUUGUGUUACCCUGAUCCUGGGUCAGACGCAACAACCCAGUGUUUGGGUAGGUUUUGUGUUACCCUGAUCCUGGGUCAGACGCAACAACCCAGUGUUUGGGUAGGUUUUGUGUUACCCUGAUCCUGGGUCAGACGCAACAACCCAGUGUUUGGGUAGGUUUUGUGUUACCCUGAUCCUGGGUCAGACGCAACAACCCAGUGUUUGGGUAGGUUUUGUGUUACCCUGAUCCUGGGUCAGACGCAACAACCCAGCGUUUGGGUAGGUUUUGUGUUACCCUGAUCCUGGGUCAGACGCAACAACCCAGCGUUUGGGUAGGUUUUGUGUUACCCUGAUCCUGGGUCAGACGCAACAACCCAGCGUUUGGGUAGGUUUUGUGUUACCCUGAUCCUGGGUCAGGCGUAACAACCCAGCUUUUGGGUAGUUUUUGUGUUACCCUGAUCCUGGGUCAGACGUAACAACCCAGCGUUUGGGUAGUUUUUGUGUUACCCAGAUCCUGGGUCAGACGCAAGCACCGCGCUUUCCCUUUGUAAUCACAGCAGCUGUAAAAACACACAUUUUAUUCAAUUAAUCUAUCUAAAGUGCACAAUAAAUAUUUAAUUUCUGAAGCUUUAUUUUUUUCACAUAAAAGUGUGAAAACCGAUGGUCGAACUGAAUUUAGCCAAGGAGCAACAAUGAGGUAUGUCUUUAUUUAUUUAUUUUUAAUGCCAUCUUACGUUUGAAUAACUAAAUUAAUGCUAUGCCUAACUAUUUAAGUGACUAUAUUCUGAUUAUAAACUAAGUAUUACACUGAUGCUCAACACACCAGCAAAUGACAUCUCACCAGAAGUUUUCAAGCUGGCUUAUAUUAAUGCGGAAGUUCUAAAGAACGCUCGUGCAUAUAGCCCAUUGAGGAAACUUUUAUGUCAUAAUAUAAACCUGCCCCAUCUACUUACUGAUGAGGAUCUAGAAACAAUCAAAUAUAUUCUUCUUCUGCUGGGAAAGACAAAUAAUUAGCCUUGUAAAUCACAUAGGAUAUUGAAUUAGUGUUGAUCCAGUGGAACAGAUCUCUAUCUUAUGGUUUUCACUGCCAUCCUUUCAGUGGACAGUAAAACAGAGAUUUUUUAUCCCAAACAGAUGGAGAGGAGAAUUGUGUAUUAAGGCAGGAGCGUGUAGUUCCCAUGUACCAUCAGUGCUGACUGCCAUGCCAGAGUUCCAGUGUAGAGUUUGCUCUGGAUGAUGCCAGAUAAGAUGGUUGUGAUUAAGCUUGUUGGCAUGACCCUACUCCAACAAAUUGGCAUUCCUUCCAGCACUUGAUGAUUGGCCCUCCAUGUGGAUUAUUUUAAGAAUUGCCAUCCUUUGUGGAUGCAUCCCUCCCCCUAUUUAUUUCCUGAAGGACUUGGAAAACAUCUGCAGAUUAAAACAGUUCCUUCCACUUUCCACUGAAUGCUUGUACUUGGGGAACUUGUGAAGACAUCCAAACAGUCCAUUGCAGCUUAUUAAGGGUGGCGUGUGAACACAAAUACAUGGAAAACAUGAAGAUAAGACUUGGAACAUAAAGCUGUUCUUGGUAUGAAUGUGAGAUUGUAACAUUUACACAGUGUGAUUCAAAAAUCAUAGUUCAUGGUUUUUUCAAAGAAAAAAUGGCUCAGUUUAGUAUAAAAAAUAUUAGUAUACAACCGGUAGGGUAAAACUUUACAAUAUUGUCUAAUUUGUUAGUGCAUUAGCUAACAUGAAUUAACAAUACAAUUUACAGUCUUUAUUUCUUUUUUAUUUAUCUUGCUUAAUAAAAUAUAGGCUAAUUGUUUGUUGUGUUUAUGUCAUGAUAACAAACUAUCAUGUAUGUUUCUUGAG